rnacentral:rRNA from 1 species
GAUGAACGCUAGCGGCAGGCCUAAUACAUGCAAGUCGGACGGGAUUCAGGAGCUUGCUUCUGAUGAGAGUGGCGCACGGGUGCGUGACACGUAUGUAACCUACCUUUAUCAGGGGGAUAGCCUCUCGAAAGAGAGAUUAAGCCCGCAUAAAAUCACAGCACAGCAUUGUGUAAUGAUCAAAUAUUUAUAGGAUAAAGAUGGGCAUGCGGAACAUUAGCUAGAUGGCGGGGUAACGGCCCACCAUGGCGACGAUGUUUAGGGGAUCUGAGAGGAUGGCCCCCCACACUGGUACUGAGACACGGACCAGACUCCUACGGGAGGCAGCAGUAAGGAAUAUUGGUCAAUGGGCGGAAGCCUGAACCAGCCAUGCCGCGUGCAGGAAGACGGCCCUACGGGUUGUAAACUGCUUUUAUACGGGAAUAAACCCAGAUACGUGUAUCUGGCUGAAUGUACUGUAAGAAUAAGGAUCGGCUAACUCCGUG